AUCCUUUUGUAGUUCACGAGCAUGAUGAUGGGGUUUUCACAUGCAUGCGUGAGAUGUGCCUCCCUCAAUCCUUAUGACGUCAGCACAUUACUCAUUUAAUU